UAUGGCCAUACCACGUUGAAACAACCAUUCUCACACGAUCACCAAAGUUAAGCAACGUCGAACUGAGUCAGUACCAAAAUGGGUGACCGCUUGCGAAUAUCAGGUGCUGUCAG